GCCUCCAUAGCUCAGUUGGCCAGAGCACGUGAUUU
rnacentral:sRNA from 1 species